GGCUCAGACAGCGCUAAACAAGACUAUUUUCUUCAAUAUGAGAAUGAAGAUUUGCAGGAGUAUGAAAUACAAGACAAUAACUGCUAAAAUGUACUAGUUUGGCUUUAAAAAAGAGGCAAAUAACAUGCUUUAUGAAUUGAUUUGGUUUUGUGGUAUUGGUAAAAUGGCAUGUCCCACAGUGAGUUUUGUAUUAAAACAUUACUUAAAAUGCUCUUUUUUUGUGGAAUUUCUAUCUCCAGCCAAAAUCAGUUGUUGCCGUUAACAUUGAAUAAUAUAUGUAAUAAGAAAAUUACGUUGAAAAUGUACAAAUGCAUUAAAUACAGCCUGUGAAAAUGAUGUCCCUUAGUGCUGUGUCAACUACGUUACCAUGACACUUUCUGGUGAACUUAACAAGAGUUACAUGCCCUUGAUGACAACCAGAUCCCCCAGGGCAAAGGCGGGAAAUUGCUGAUCUUCAAAGUCAGGUUUGAAGAACUUUUCAAGAAGCAUAUACGGCAGGAAUAUGCCUCUAUCUGCUGCAGAAAAAACAGCGUCGAUAUAGACAACGUCGAGAAGCCCUGACGAUAAUGGAAACGGCAGAAGAGAAAGUGGACUUAGAAGGCGAAGGGCUCGGGCUAAACGCUCUGACAUGAAAGACUUGACAGAAGCAUUACAGCAGGAGAAGAGGCGUGCAGAGCGCUACAGAAAGCGAUACAACCGUCUUCUCAAUCGCACAUCAGACAGCCCUAGAAGUAAAAACUCAUCAGUU